AUCUGUAUACAUGAGUGUGUGUAUAUACAUAUGUAUACAUACAUACAUACAUACAUACAUACACACACAUACUAUC
rnacentral:miRNA from 14 species